rnacentral:lncRNA from 1 species
UUUGAGUAAGGAGUGUCUAGGAGUGGCUCUCUGAGUUUUUCCUGCUUGAAGUAGAAGAUUAGUAUUGUUUACAAUAUUCCACAAUUUGGGGCCGUUAUUUCAAGAAUUUUUCUGUGCCUGCUCUGCUCUCUGGAUUCCCCUCUUGUACAGUGUGCUGCUGUCUGAGAUCUUACCAUUGGAUUCUCUUCAUUUUUCUGCAUUCCUCAGACUUGGUAAUCUCUUCAAAUUCACCGAUUCUUCUUCCUGCUUAAAGCUGUUGUUGCACUGCUCUAGUAAAUUUCUCACUGCAAUUACUAGAGAUGUCCCCCCAUCAAUAAGCCCCGCGGUCGUUUAGAACAGCACUGGGGAUGUAGCUCAGUGCCUAGCAUGUGCCAGAACC